rnacentral:RNase_P_RNA from 1 species
CGGUCGCGGCCUGAUGGCCGAGGAAAGUCCGGACUCCACAGGGCGGGGGAUCCGCUGGUCAACGGCGGAAGGCGGCGGGAAAUCCGCCGCGAUGGAAAGUGCCACAGAAAACAGGUAGCCUCCGCAAGGGGGUGAUAGUGAAAAGGCGGGGCAAGAGCCCACCGGCACGGCUGAAACGACGUGCGCAAGGCAAACCCUCCCCGGAGCAAGAUCAAAUAGGGGGCUGACGGGGUGCCCCUCCGACGGCGGCCGAAAGGCCGCCUUAGGCCCCGGGUUGAUUGCUCAGAUGAAUGACCGGACCUCCGGGCCGUCCGAAAGGGCCGGCAAAGGGGGGAACAGAAUCUGGCUUAUUCGCC